UACGUAGGGGGCUAGCGUUGUCCGGAAUCAUUGGGCGUAAAGCGUGCGCAGGCGGUCUUGCAAGACAGAUGUGAAAUCCCCGGGCUCAACCUGGGAACUGCAUUUGUGACUGCAAGGCUGGAGUGCGGCAGAGGGGGAUGGAAUUCCGCGUGUAGCAGUGAAAUGCGUAGAUAUGCGGAGGAACACCGAUGGCGAAGGCAAUCCCCUGGGCCUGCACUGACGCUCAUGCACGAAAGCGUGGGGAGCAAACAGG
rnacentral:rRNA from 1 species